GAUGAAUGCUGGCGGCGUGCCUAACACAUGCAAGUCGAGCGGCAGCGCGAGUAGUUUACUACUUGGCGGCGAGCGGCGGACGGCUGAGUAACGCGUGGGAACGUGCCCCAAAGUGAGGAAUAACUGCCCGAAAGGGUGGCUAAUGCCGCAUAUGAUCUUCGGAUUAAAGGAUUUAUCCGCUUUGGGAGCGGCCCGCGUUAGAUUAGGUAGUUGGUAGGGUAAUGGCCUACCAAGCCGACGAUCUAUAGCUGGUCUGAGAGGCUGAUCAGCCAGACUGGGACUGAGACACGGCCCAGACUCCUACGGGAGGCAGCAGUGAGGAAUCUUCAACAAUGGGCGAAAGCCUGAUGGAGCAACGCCGCGUGAAGGAUGAAGGCCCUCGGGUCGUAAAGCUCUGUUGUCAGGGAAGAACAAGUACCGGAGUAACUGCCGGUACCUUGACGGUACCUGACCAGAAAGCCACGGCUAA
rnacentral:rRNA from 1 species